AUUGAACGCUGGCGGCAUGCCUUACACAUGCAAGUCGAACGGUAACAGGUCUUCGGAUGCUGACGAGUGGCGAACGGGUGAGUAAUACAUCGGAACGUGCCUAGUAGUGGGGGAUAACUACUCGAAAGAGUGGCUAAUACCGCAUGAGAUCUACGGAUGAAAGCAGGGGAACGCAAGACCUUGUGCUACUAGAGCGGCCGAUGGCAGAUUAGGGAGUUGGUGGGAUAUAAGCUUACCAAGCCGACGAUCUGUAGCUGGGCUGAGAGGACGAUCAGCCACACUGGGACUGUGAAGCGGCCCAGACUCCUCCGGGAGGCAGCAGUGGGGAAUUUUGGACAAUGGGCACAAGCCUGAUCCAGCAAUGCCGCGUGCAGGAUGAAGGCCUUCGGGUUGUAAACUGCUUUUGUACGGAACGAAAAGCCCCGGGUUAAUACCCUGGGGUCAUGACGGUACCGUAAGAAUAAGCACCGGCUAACUACGUGCCAGCCGCCGCAGUAA
rnacentral:rRNA from 1 species